rnacentral:scRNA from 1 species
GGGUCUGGUCCGGUGGAUGUCUAUCUGUGCAG